rnacentral:rRNA from 1 species
UACGGGGGGGCAAGCGUUGUUCGGAAUUACUGGGCGUAAAGGGCUCGUAGGCGGCCAACUAAGUCAGACGUGAAAUCCCUCGGCUUAACCGGGGAACUGCGUCUGAUACUGGAUGGCUUGAGUUUGGGAGAGGGAUGCGGAAUUCCAGGUGUAGCGGUGAAAUGCGUAGAUAUCUGGAGGAACACCGGUGGCGAAGGCGGCAUCCUGGACCAACACUGACGCUGAGUGAGCGAAAGCCAGGGAGCAAGCGGG